AGUCCAUGACUUGGGCAUUUCCUUAUCAUCUCCGUGAAUCUCUUCCAUGCUUCCGCAAAAGACUCAUCAUACUUUUGUCGGAAUGAAGUGAUCUCCUCUCUCAACUU